GGUACGUGUGUGUUUUGCAGAAACUGCAACUGAUUACCGAAGCACGGGCUGCACAGGUUCAAAGGUCGCCAGCCUGGUCUUGGGGAAUCCCCCUGCCUCUAUCCGGGCUGUAGACAGGACGCCAUUUUGGUUUCACAGGUGAACACCAAAACAAGACGGCCACCCUCGAAAUGGAACCUGUAAUUAAAAUAAACGCCGACGCCUGUGUUGUUGUGAGCGGGCUUUUGGAUCGUGUCAACAGUCAGAACCUGAGGGGCGUCUUCAAUCUUGGAACGGUGACUCCAGAAUAAACCAACUGGUCACAUUUUCAACAAUAGGAACUGCACUGGUAGAGUUGCCAACGCCAGAAGGCGUCGCUGACAUGCUGGCAAACGAGACGAAGCUACAAGUGAGAAGGCUGCGGUCCGUGUUUCCUCGAUAUGAAAACGGGACAACCUUGGACGGAUGGGAAGUGUUGUUUACCCUAGAGACAUUCCUCCAGUCACUGCUUUUCCCGCGUGAUGACUUUCAACAGGGAUUUGAAUCAGGCGCAUCACAGGGGGCAAAAGAACGUUUUUACUUCGCUGACCUCGACUUGGAUGCAGACGCCUGUGUUGUUGUGAGUGGGUUUCCGGCUGAUGUGAACAACAUCCACUUCUGGUAUUUAAUCAGUCAGGCGGAAUGCAUAAGACAAGCUGUCGUGUUUGCAACAACAGGGACCGUUCUGAUGGAGUUCUUUAGGCCCGAGGGGGCUGCCAUCUUUCUCGCAAAUAAAAUCGACUGUUGGAAGAGCUAGGGCUCCAAGUGAAACAACUGGAGUCCAUGUUUUCUCCUGAGGAGAACAUGUCAACCUUACAGAAAGAACAAGAACUGGCUAUGCUUAAGCAACAACUUGAGACCGCCAAGCAGACUCUGGUUAACAAAGAACAAAAGCUUCAGCACGUGACGGUAGAAAAGAAGGUCCUUGGAGCUGCGUACAGACGGGACAUCAUUAAUCUAAAGAACCAGAGAGAAGCUGACGAGAGGGAAAUUGAGCGACUAAAGGAGCAGAUCGCCUCAUUGUCCACAGAGAUAAUCACCUCGUACGACAUGGGCCGAGACCCACGUGGAGUCGCCAUCAUCAUCAAUAACAUCCACUUUGAGGACAUGGCGGAGCGGGAUGGGGCUGAGGGAG